UCUCCUAAGAAGCAAGAAAAAGGAAAAGAUUUCUUCCUGGAUUGAUCAGCAACGAGGACAAGAGUCCUUGCUUUGCACUUUUCAAAAUUCAUUUCCCCACCUAAAAGGUCUAUAGCUCCCUAGAGGGCUCAGAUCCGGCCCACCUCUCCCCAAAACCCACCGUGUUUCCUGCAGAUACAUCUGAUGCAUCUGCGUCAUCAAAAUGGAAGAAUAGGAUGGGAGAGAAGAAUCCGGUAAAGGCAGGCAAGUAGGGCUCUGACAUAUCCAGCUUUGCGCUCCUUCCCUUUCCCCCUCUCAGUCCCCAGCCCUGCCCCAGCACCUACCUGGGCCUAUCCUUGCCUUCUCCUCUUCCUAGCGAUGCUCACCACCAGGUGUGCCGCGAAGCUUCUGGUCCUCAGACCUGCGAUCAACCCCGAAGGAUGGUGAGAUGCACUUUCUUGUCAACUUGUACGCCUUUCUGUGAAAACUGAGCGAUUGAGUAACAUGACGUGGCAACUUUCGCAGUCAGAUUCUCCAUCAUCUCCAAGAUGUACAGAUGUGUGUAUGUCUGUCUGCCGAUCCCUUUGCUGAUAACAGAACCAGGUGCCUUCCUGCUUCCAACGAGACCUGAAGACCAGUAUCUCCAAGGCAUCCUCCAGGCCUUUGGUGCAGAUUAGGACAGCUGAGACACGUAGCACAGCCUCCCGGGGUAAACAACUAGUCCAUUUCCAACCCCUCUUCCACUCUAUUAUGCAAAUCAACCCAGUAAAUACGUUUUUUAUGGGCCAGUGAGAUAGCUCAGCCAGUAAAAUGCUGCCUGCCAAGCCUGAUGUCCCAAUGACCUGAGGAACUAAGGUCUAUUUCAUUAAUCCACAUGGUGAAACUAGAGAACAAAAUAAUUCUGCUCUGCAUGGCAUCUUCUGACCUCUACAUACAUGCUAUGGCAUGUUCUUGUAAGGCACUUUCUUUCUCUUCUGAUUCCUCUCCCCCUCCCUCUCUCCCUCCCUUCCCCUCCCUCUCUGUCUCUCUGUCUGUCUCUCUGUCUCUCUGCCUCUCUCUCUCUCUCUCUCUCUCUCUCUCUCUCUCUCUCUCUCUCUCUUUCUGCCUGUGACAUAUACAGUAAAUAAAUGAAUGAAUAUAGACAGGGAAUGUAGUGUCAGGGAAAUUUACUUACCCCUCAAAGGGUUUUGUUUAAUGUGGUUCUUAUACUUCUAUGGUUAGGUUUUUGGAGACAAGGUCUCACUAUGGAGCCUUGGCUAGACUGGAACUCUCUGUGUGACCAGUGUGGCCUUGAAUUCAGAGAACACCUAGUGGUUCUCAUACUUCUUAUGGAACUCCAGUUAUUUCACUAAAUAGUGAGUUUUUGCUAAAGUGACAAAUAGUUCACCAACCUUGUGUUGCUUCCUAUUUUCCAUACAUCUCUUACCUAUGUAUAUCGUGAGUGUGUGUUAUUAUCAUGCCAUCUGCCGUGAGUCCAUUAUCAGAAGCAAGAUUGGUGACAGUAUCUAAUCUUGAACUUUUUCAAAAUGGCACUAAAUAAACCUGUUUUUGUUCUAAGGUACCCAGGAUCAAGAAUUUUGUAAUAGUAGUGGGAAAUGGGCUAAUGUACAAUGUUAAUAAUAAUCAUAAAAUACUUUAAUAUUUUCUUCUUAAAUUGAUUUUUUUAGUACUAGGUAGGGAUCAAAUCCCAAGCUUCAGGUACUUUACCCACUGAACUAUUACCUCUGCUGUUAGGUUGGCCAUGUUGACAUUAUAAAAUAUAUAUCUUAAACUCUAAUAUUUUGUUUCUUGUCUUAACAUUCACCUUAUUGGAGUUUUUGUAGCUACAUCAGUUUUUAUUUUGAAACUACAGGCCAGUAUUUUUCUAAUAUAUGAAUUUCUAUCAUUCCCAAUAGUUAUUUUUAAAAUGUUACUCUUAUAGCAACCUGUGUCUUAUUAUUCAGUCAACUUAAACUUACUCUGUUGAAAAUAUUUUUGCUAUACCUCUCAAUUGACUCCUGUAUUCUCUAUUCCUACUGAUUAAAUAAAACUAUGAGAGUUUAAAAGAUAAUUUCUGGAUCUUCAAAACUUAUGUGCCCAAAAUUUGUCUGUGUACAUAUCCAUUGACUUAAAGAGUAUGGAUUCUCUGAGGAGAAAGUCUAUCAAAAGUCUUAGUUUGUAAGGGACUCACAUUUUAUUUUAAAAAGAAAUUUGUCACAAGGCCAGAAAUCAAUAUAUGGCUGUGCUUUCAUUGACCAGAAGAAUGUAUAUCAAUAUGGCGGGUACCCGGUUUUCAGUCUCCAAAUUGUCCUUGACUGAUCUUAUUCCUUUCUGUAGUAGUCACAGAAUCUUGGAAAUGAGGAUACUCAAUUCCACACCUAUAACCUAGAACUCAAAGCUUUUGAAUUUCUACAUGGCUGUCUAGUGUGAUUGUCCUUCACAGCAUUUCAAAAGCACCUCAGGCUUAUCACAUGGAAAAGUAAUGACCAGGAGUAAGCUGUCCGUUCCCCUGAACUGGAAAGCCUGCUCGGGCAUGUUCAAAAUGCAUUACUGGAUCUGGUCACAAGAUGGCCCUUUAUUCUACACUUAAAGAUUUUUUAAUACACAACCAAAUUUUGAUCAGGAAAAAAAAACUAUUCUUACAAGUUAGAGAAUAUUAUUUACUAAGUAUUACACAUUGAUUCUUGAAGAUGUGUUUGUAUCAAAUCACCAAAAGAUUCUGCUCUGACAUUUCCUUUUCCUUUCUCCUUUUUAACCAAUACAAUCAAUAUCUAAUUUUUUCAUUGCUAGAAGAUAUACUUUCCUAAUGAGUAGCUUUUUGCUUUGUGUUCUGACUUCUGCUUUUUCAUAACUUGGACUUACUUGGAUAACCUCUUCAGUUGUCAAUAUCAGGAAAUUUGCUUUUUUUUUCUGUUCCAAGUACCUAUUUCCUGUGUGACUCUUGAUUGGAUUAAUAGACACUGGGGUCCUGAGUGAUCCUCACCUUUGGAUGUGUCUAUGAAAGUGUUUCCAGAGAGGAUUACCUGCCCUGAAUGUAGGCGGCACUCUUGCAUAGGUAGGAAUCUCAGACAAAAUAAAGAGACAAAGGAGAAGGUAACUUGACUGCUGGCAUUACCUUUUCUGUGCUUCUUGUUGGAUGCUAGAGACAAAGCAUUAGUACUACCCUGCCAUAAUGGAGUGGUCCCCAAACCCUUCCUCCCUUAAGUUGGUUAUUGUAAAAAUAGUUGGUCCCAGCCCCAUGAAAAGUGAUUCUGAGAAGUAGGGUUGUGGCUAUGGCUACCAUAUUUUGUAGGUUUUUGGAAAGAGUGUGUAAAAGUUUGGAGCCAUGAGCUAGAGAAGCAUGAGCAUGACACAAGAAGAACUUCAUGGGCAAUAGCUCUUCUGUAUGGUAAGAAGCUUGGAAUGCCAAUAGGAAGGUCAAUAGGAAGGCCAGCACUCACAAGCUUCCCCAGAAUAAGCACGCUAUUGGAAACUAGACUGGAGGUUAUUUAUGGUUUCUUUUGGCAAAGAAUUGGACUACACCCUGCCAAUUUCCUGAGCAUCUAAGUGAGGAUGAUUUGUUUGGUGGAGGAAAUUUCAAGGCAGCAUAACAUUCACACUGUGAUAUUGACGUUGCUCUCUCUGUUUAGCCAGACUUGGAGGGAGAAGAAACAGAAAGUAGUUUAUUUAGCAUUUAGUUUCUAAGACUCAGGGGCUUUGACUUCUAUGGUGAAAGCUUGCUGACUAUAUCCGAGCCUGAUGGAUGACAAGAUGGCAGGUAUGUCUGUGACAAAGAUGAGAGGGAGCUGGAGAGCAAUCAAAGUUGUGUGUUUUGUUUGGGUGACUCAUCCUUGCCCUUUCAUAAGAGUCCUUUUGUGAGAAAUAGCUGGAGUUCCUUUAGAAUUGCGUCAGUUCCUGUCAAAGGCAAUGAAUGCCCUUCAGAGGUCUAAUGGCCUCAUCCUGGAUGAUACCUCUUGAAGGUUCCAUCACCGGGGACCAAGUUUUCAACAUACAAAUGCCAGGGUGAUACUAAAUGCAAGAGCAUUGCUUGUGGCUUGAAAAUGGUUCAAGCACAGGUUUUUGAAGCAAGGAAAAGAUUGCACUUGGAAUGCUAACAAAGCAAAGAAAAUCAGAGGCUAGCGCCAACAAAAGAUGAUUUUACUGAGUUCAGGAAUGCAAAGCAGCAUUUUAGAGAAGAAAAGGAAGGGAGAUAAUGGACAUCAGAGUACUGUUUACUGAAGACUUCUAGUUUCUAGUGGCCAAGAAUGAACUAUUGUCUUAGUUACCCUUAUCUUGGUGUCUGUAGCUUUGAAGAGGGAACAUAUUGUGCAAAUUUAGGCCAAAUCAACCUUGUAUUCUUGUUCUGAACAAACCAUGUCUUAAAUUACUGCUAUGUCUACAUGUCAAAUGGAGCAGAAAUCUGGCUAAAGGUUAAGGUAAUCAAACAGAAGAUACAGCGUGAAGGCAGCAAUGCCAAGUUUUAAAAUACACUUUUAGACAUUCUGGGUGUGUGUGACCAAGUAAAAUGCCAAUACUCUCACCUUUAGUCCCUAAUCCAAGCAACUGUUAUCAUCGUAAAACUAGUAACUUGACUUUUAAAGUCAAUUAAAAGAUAAAGAAGCUAGCUAGAGUCCCCCUGUUAAAGAGGAACACAAUUAAGCCAUAGCCAAUCUCACUCUAGUCUUUCAAGAAGACUCAAGCUAUUGAAUAUUGAGUUAUCUAUGUCUCAAGUGCACUUGCUUCUCAGAAUAUAUAUAUAUAUAUAUGAAAUAAAAUGUUGAAAGUUUUCUAUGAGCUAAGUGAUUUACAGCAGACACACCGUGUUAAGAUGUUCCAACGAGCCAUGACGUGUAUAAAGUAUUACCUUCUUUAAGAUGAGGAGACUGUUACUAACAGUAUGUACUGGCAAGUAAGUGAUCAAGCAACACAACUUCUUGACAGUAUCAGGGCUCUAGAGUUAAGCAUGAUUGUCCUUCAUUUUAAAUAAUUCCCCCAAGUAACGUCAUGAUAAAAUAAAAAAAUUUAAAGGCAUACACUUUGAAAGCAUUUGCUAUAUAGCAGGCACCAGUCUAAGGAAUGUACAUGUAUGAAUUCACGAAUGUAACCAAAGUAAUUUGGCUGUCACUUCUGACUGUAAAACAGUACUUUGGAAAAGACUACAGAAGAAUUAAGAAUAAAGUUUCAGUUGCCUUAAAAAAAAAUCUUACUUCUAUUUCGAGAUUCGCCCUUUCUCCCUGAUUUCUGACCUAGCUAC